rnacentral:rRNA from 2 species
UGGGGACAGGAAGAAGCUUGCUUCUUUGCUGACGAGUGGCGGACGGGUGAGUAAUGUCUGGGAAACUGCCUGAUGGAGGGGGAUAACUACUGGAAACGGUAGCUAAUACCGCAUAACGUCGCAAGACCAAAGAGGGGGACCUUCGGGCCUCUUGCCAUCGGAUGUGCCCAGAUGGGAUUAGCUAGUAGGUGGGGUAACGGCUCACCUAGGCGACGAUCCCUAGCUGGUCUGAGAGGAUGACCAGCCACACUGGAACUGAGACACGGUCCAGACUCCUACGGGAGGCAGCAGCGGGGAAUAUUGCACAAUGGGCGCAAGCCUGAUGCAGCCAUGCCGCGUGUAUGAAGAAGGCCUUCGGGUUGUAAAGUACUUUCAGCGGGGAGGAAGGGAGUAAAGGUUAAUACCUUUGCUCAUUGACGUUACCCGCAGAAGAAGCACCGGCUAACUCCGUGCAGCAGCCGCGGUAAUACGGAGGGUGCAAGCGUUAAUCGGAAUUACUGGGCGUAAAGGAAGAGCGGUUGUAAGU